rnacentral:lncRNA from 1 species
GCUGACACCACGCCGACCUGGCAUCCUAGUCAGUACUCACGUUUACCGGAUCGACUAGCUUAAAGUAUUAGUACUAAACCGAGGGUGAACAGGUAUAUAUACCGGAGAUCUUUGUGGUUUGCAUCCGAUCCAUGCCGAUACGUCUUCGUGAUGAUUAAUCAGCAAAUCUGCCUGUUUCAAGAAAAGUAGUACGACAAUCCUAAGGAUAUCCGAGCUUGCUAGCCCGAAAUGAUUGCUCUGCCUUUGUGCUAGCUAGCUCGUGAUUUAGCAAUGGAUCUUAAGAUUGUUUAACUUGAAUAAUUUUGUUCGUUCACUUGAUGUUGAAAUAUUCUUCAAGAUUGCCACUUUUUGUAAGAGAAAAUAGUGAGGUACUCCCUCCAUUUCCAAAUAUCGUAUAAAUCUUUUAAAA